ACGAACGCUGGCGGCAGGCCUAAAACAUGCAAGUCGAACGCUGUAGCAAUACAGAGUGGCGCACGGGUGAGUAACAUGUGGGAAUAUGCCUUUUGGUACGGAACAACUUUUGGAAACGAAAGCUAAUACCGUAUGGUCCCUUCGGGGUAAAGAUUUAUCGCCAAAAGAGUAGCCCGCACUGGAUUAGCUAGUUGGUAAGGUAAUGGCUUACCAAGGCGACGAUCCAUAGCUGGUCUGAGAGGACGAUCAGCCACACUGGGACUGAGACACGGCCCAGACUCCUACGGGAGGCAGCAGUUAGGAAUAUUGGACAAUGGGCGCAAGCCUGAUCCAGCCAUGCCGCGUGAGUUAUGAAGGCCUUCGGGUUGUAAAGCUCUUUAGGCGGGGACGAUAAUGACGGUACCCGCAGAAUAAGCCCCGGCUAACUUCGU
rnacentral:rRNA from 1 species